rnacentral:rRNA from 1 species
GACGCACGCUGGCGGCGUGCUUCACACAUGCAAGUCGAACGAAGUGGCGAACGGGUGAGUAAUACGUGGGUAACCUGCCCUCCUUUUUGGGAUAAGCCUUGGAAACGGGGUCUAAUACCGAAUAAAGAGGGCUGGGCUCGCGGCCUAUCAGCUUGUUGGUGGGGGGCUGGCCUAACAAGGCUGUGUCGGGUAGCCGGCAUGAGAGGGUGACCUGACACAUUGGGACUGAGAUACUGCCCAGAAGCCGACUGGAGGCAGAAGUGGGGGAGAGUGCGCGAUGGGCGAAAGACCGAGGCAGCGACGACGCGGGGGGGAUGAAGGCGUGCGGGUGGGAAACCUCUUUCGAUAUCGAACGGGUAGGUGGAGAAGAAGCGCCGGCUAACUACGUGCCAGAAGCCGCGGUAAUAC